CAGUAGCCGCGGUAAUACGGAGGAUUCGAGCGUUAUCCGGAUUUACUGGGUUUAAAGGGUGCGCAGGCGGGCUCUUAAGUCAGCGGUGAAAUGUCUGGGCUUACCCUAGGAAUCGCCGUUGAUACUGGGAGUCUUGGAUAAGCAUAAGGACGGCGGAAUGCGUAGUGUAGCGGUGAAAUGCUUAGAUAUUACGUAGAAGACCAAUUGCGGAGGCAGCUGUCUGGGUCUUUAUCGACGCUCAAGCACGAAAGCGUGGGGAGCAAACAGGAUUAGAUACCCCGGUAGUCCCUGUCUCUUAUAC
rnacentral:rRNA from 1 species